rnacentral:rRNA from 1 species
ACUAAGCGUACACGGUGGAUGCCCUGGCAGUCAGAGGCGAUGAAGGACGUGCUAAUCUGCGAAAAGCGCCGGCGAGGUGAUAUGAACCUUUGACCCGGCGAUGUCCGAAUGGGGAAACCCAGUGUGAUUCGUCACACUAUCGUUAACUGAAUACAUAGGUUAACGAGGCGAACCGGGGGAACUGAAACAUCUAAGUACCCCGAGGAAAAGAAAUCAACCGAGAUUCCCCCAGUAGCGGCGAGCGAACGGGGAGCAGCCCGGAGUCUGAAUCAGCUUGUGUGUUAGUGGAACGGUCUGGAAAGUCCGACGGUACAGGGUGAUAGUCCCGUACACGAAAAUGCACAGGUUGUGAACUCGAAGAGUAGGGCGGGACACGUGGUAUCCUGUCUGAAUAUGGGGGGACCAUCCUCCAAGGCUAAAUACUCCUGACUGACCGAUAGUGAACCAGUACCGUGAGGGAAAGGCGAAAAGAACCCCGGCGAGGGGAGUGAAAAAGAACCUGAAACCGUGUACGUACAAGCAGUGGGAGCCUACUUGUUAGGUGACUGCGUACCUUUUGUAUAAUGGGUCAGCGACUUAUAUUCUGUAGCAAGGUUAACCGUAUAGGGGAGCCGAAGGGAAACCGAGUCUUAACUGGGCGUUAAGUUGCAGGGUAUAGACCCGAAACCCGGUGAUCUAGCCAUGGGCAGGUUGAAGGUUGGGUAACACUAACUGGAGGACCGAACCGACUAAUGUUGAAAAAUUAGCGGAUGACCUGUGGCUGGGGGUGAAAGGCCAAUCAAACCGGGAGAUAGCUGGUUCUCCCCGAAAGCUAUUUAGGUAGCGCCUCGUGAAUUCAUCUUCGGGGGUAGAGCACUGUUUCGGCUAGGGGGCCAUCCCGGCUUACCAACCCGAUGCAAACUACGAAUACCGAAGAAUGUUAUCACGGGAGACACACGGCGGGUGCUAACGUCCGUCGUGAAGAGGGAAACAACCCAGACCGCCAGCUAAGGUCCCAAAGUCAUGGUUAAGUGGGAAACGAUGUGGGAAGGCACAGACAGCCAGGAUGUUGGCUUAGAAGCAGCCAUCAUUUAAAGAAAGCGUAAUAGCUCACUGGUCGAGUCGGCCUGCGCGGAAGAUGUAACGGGGCUAAACCAUGCACCGAAGCUGCGGCAGCGACACUAUGUGUUGUUGGGUAGGGGAGCGUUCUGUAAGCCGUUGAAGGUGGCCUGUGAGGGUUGCUGGAGGUAUCAGAAGUGCGAAUGCUGACAUAAGUAACGAUAAAGCGGGUGAAAAGCCCGCUCGCCGGAAGACCAAGGGUUCCUGUCCAACGUUAAUCGGGGCAGGGUGAGUCGACCCCUAAGGCGAGGCCGAAAGGCGUAGUCGAUGGGAAACAGGUUAAUAUUCCUGUACUUGGUGUUACUGCGAAGGGGGGACGGAGAAGGCUAUGUUAGCCGGGCGACGGUUGUCCCGGUUUAAGCAUGUAGGCGGAGGUUCCAGGUAAAUCCGGUACCUUUUAACGCUGAGGUGUGAUGACGAGGCACUACGGUGCUGAAGUAACAAAUGCCCUGCUUCCAGGAAAAGCCUCUAAGCAUCAGGUAACACGAAAUCGUACCCCAAACCGACACAGGUGGUCAGGUAGAGAAUACCAAGGCGCUUGAGAGAACUCGGGUGAAGGAACUAGGCAAAAUGGUGCCGUAACUUCGGGAGAAGGCACGCUGAUAUGUAGGUGAAGCCCCUGCGGGUGGAGCUGAAAUCAGUCGAAGAUACCAGCUGGCUGCAACUGUUUAUUAAAAACACAGCACUGUGCAAACACGAAAGUGGACGUAUACGGUGUGACGCCUGCCCGGUGCCGGAAGGUUAAUUGAUGGGGUUAGCGGUAACGCGAAGCUCUUGAUCGAAGCCCCGGUAAACGGCGGCCGUAACUAUAACGGUCCUAAGGUAGCGAAAUUCCUUGUCGGGUAAGUUCCGACCUGCACGAAUGGCGUAAUGAUGGCCAGGCUGUCUCCACCCGAGACUCAGUGAAAUUGAACUCGCUGUGAAGAUGCAGUGUACCCGCGGCAAGACGGAAAGACCCCGUGAACCUUUACUAUAGCUUGACACUGAACACUGGUCCUUGAUGUGUAGGAUAGGUGGGAGGCUUUGAAGCGUGGACGCCAGUCUGCGUGGAGCCGACCUUGAAAUACCACCCUUUAAUGGCUGGUGUUCUAACGUAGACCCGUAAUCCGGGUUGCGGACAGUGUCUGGUGGGUAGUUUGACUGGGGCGGUCUCCUCCCAAAGAGUAACGGAGGAGCACGAAGGUUAGCUAAUCCUGGUCGGACAUCAGGAGGUUAGUGCAAUGGCAUAAGCUAGCUUGACUGCGAGAGUGACGGCUCGAGCAGGUGCGAAAGCAGGUCAUAGUGAUCCGGUGGUUCUGAAUGGAAGGGCCAUCGCUCAACGGAUAAAAGGUACUCCGGGGAUAACAGGCUGAUACCGCCCAAGAGUUCAUAUCGACGGCGGUGUUUGGCACCUCGAUGUCGGCUCAUCACAUCCUGGGGCUGAAGUAGGUCCCAAGGGUAUGGCUGUUCGCCAUUUAAAGUGGUACGCGAGCUGGGUUUAGAACGUCGUGAGACAGUUCGGUCCCUAUCUGCCGUGGGCGCUGGAGAAUUGAGGGGGGCUGCUCCUAGUACGAGAGGACCGGAGUGGACGCAUCACUGGUGUUCGGGUUGUCAUGCCAAUGGCACUGCCCGGUAGCUAAAUGCGGAAGAGAUAAGUGCUGAAAGCAUCUAAGCACGAAACUUGCCCCGAGAUGAGUUCUCCCUGAGACUUUAAGUCUCCUGAAGGAACGUUGAAGACGACGACGUUGAUAGGUCGGGUGUGUAAGCGCAGCGAUGCGUUGAGCUAACCGAUACUAAUGAACCGUGAGGCUUAACC